rnacentral:rRNA from 1 species
GACGAACGCUGGCGGCGUGCCUAAUACAUGCAAGUCGAGCGCAGGAAAUCGACGGAACCCUUCGGGGGGAAGUCGACGGAAUGAGCGGCGGACGGGUGAGUAACACGUAAGAACCUGCCCUCAGGUCUGGGAUAACCACGAGAAAUCGGGGCUAAUACCGGAUGGGUCAUCGGACCGCAUGGUCCGAGGAUGAAAGGCGCUUCGGCGUCGCCUGGGGAUGGCUUUGCGGUGCAUUAGCUAGUUGGUGGGGUAAUGGCCCACCAAGGCGACGAUGCAUAGCCGACCUGAGAGGGUGAUCGGCCACACUGGGACUGAAACACGGCCCAGACUCCUACGGGAGGCAGCAGUAGGGAAUCUUCCACAAUGGACGAAAGUCUGAUGGAGCAACGCCGCGUGAACGAUGAAGGCCUUCGGGUCGUAAAGUUCUGUUGUAAGGGAAGAACAAGUGCCGCAGGCAAUGGCGGCACCUUGACGGUACCUUGCGAGAAAGCCACGGCUAACUACGUGCCAGCCGCCGCAGUAA